AAAAACACUCACCCUCAUACCACUGCAUUGCCGCCACUCUCCGGUGACGAUAGCCGAUCAAAACCUAAACCCCAAAUUAAUUUCCCGCCGAUCAUGCACUGCUCUUCCCAUUACCGAAUUCUUGUAAAUUCUUAUUUAAGGAAAAAAAAAGAGGAAGAGAUUGUUGUCUUUUUGAAUAUUCAAGAAUGUUUUCUUUUUCAAAAGAAAAUUAUGUUCUUAUUUUCGUGGUGUGUGUUAAGGAUGUUGAAGAAAUUAGUUUUAACUUUUCAAGUCAGUAAUGCAGUUCGCACAGGGGAUUUGAGUUUCGUUUCAGAAAUACCGUAUCUGCAGACAAGAUGAUGAAGAGAAACUGAAAUUUACAGUUUGAUUCCAGGAAACCCUAAAUUGAUCAAUUUUCUCGUUGAUGUCAAAUUGGUAUUCUUCCAUGCAUUGGUUUUAAAGAAAAUAUCAAGAAACUGUUGUCUAAGUUACAUUGGUAUUCAUAGGAAAUUGUUGUUUUCAAGAAUAUAUUGGUAUAGAACUUCAAGAAAUCUUUUCUUUUUUAAGAAAAUCAAAGAAUUAUGUUGUCAAAAAAGCAUGUUUACGGAACGGCAAGUGUUUGUACCUUGGAAUUUAUGACCUGUAGACAAGAUGACUGCUGUUUGCUAAUAAGGAUUUGUUGGGAUUUUUCUUUUUGAAGUCAUUGUAUUUUACAACCAACCAGUCCGAAGGAAGCAAAUGCACUCCAAGUACUUAUAGUUUUCUCAGAAUCAAUCAAGUAAAACAUAUUGAUUUACAUACUUUACUUCUAAAGCUAUACUCUGAUCUGAUUGUUCUUUUGGUUUUCAUAAAUAAUCUUGAAGUUCAAAGAGGGUUUUGCAUUCACCGAAAGAGUCUCUGCUAAGAAUCACCCUUUCACAUCCCAGUGUCUUCUUCAAAUUGUUUAUAUUGAAAGGUCCGUCUUUGAUAAACUAGCUAAUAGAAGGAUAUGUCCUGUCUGUUUUCUUAGAUUUGUAAUUAGCAUGCAGUGAGGACCUGCUUUGCGCACGUGCUUCUGCUUCUUCUUGGGCUGUUGUCAAGCGGGUUUGGGGUCCAUCUGAGUUCCCUUAACAAAUUGAAUGCAAGAGUUGGUCCAUUUAAGCUGUAAGGAUACAUCUCAGGUCUUGAUGUUUAUACAAUAAAGGUAUAAGGGUAAACUACUUGCUGGCUGUUGCCAAAUAUGCCCGUGAAAACAGGAUACCUUACCUGGGCAUAUGUCUAGGAAUGCAAAUUGCUGCUAUGGAGUAAGCUAGAUCGUUUCUUGGGUUGCUAGGUGCGAACAGUUCAGAGUUUGAUCCCAACACUCAUGUGUAAUUUUCAUGCCAGAACUUAAGUAUCCCCUUCAUCAUGAAUUUCCCUCAUGAUCUUCAUGUGUUUUAGGUCUUAUUUCAGAAGCAUAUAUUUAUCUGUAGAUCAUGUUCACUGGGUUCAGAAACACAUAUGGGUGGUACCAUACGUCUUGGAUCAAGAAGAAUGUACUUUCAAGUUAAAGAUUCUAAAUCUGCAAAACUGUAGUACUUCCUUUCCUCCAACCUCAUUGCAUUGGCUGUAUCACUGUGUGUGAAGGUCUUAUCUGGACUAAUGAGGACAACUAGCUAUCUUGAUUCGAGCAAGAAUUGGUCAUGCCUGAAAUUGGCUACCAAUUACUACACAACUGUGCUGACCAAAUUCAGAACUGGGUUUGGAUCUGCAACAUUCAUUCACAGGCUUCAAGAUCAUUUACCAGGAACUUAAAUCUGAUUCACAAGCAACCUACAUUUGUCACACUUCUUGAGGAUAUAUGCCUGUUUCUGGAAAACGAGGCAUGACAAACACUUCUUCUCAGGCUAGUUAUUACAUCCUGAGGCAGCUAAAGUCUCUUUGCCUUGGUGGAUAAUGCUGAGUUCAAAUGAUGCCAUACAGCAGUCAUUAUGGAGCUUGCUUUGUUUCCUCAGGGCCCUCAAAAAAAGCAACUACUUUAUCAUGGGAAAGAAGGAAUCAUUCCUUCAAUGACAGUCAACUUCACUAGAACCAUGGACUGGGAGUGAGGUCACUUCUGCUAUUGAUCUGGUGUCUCACGAGAUGGACUGGUGCUGAUGGGAGAAAGAUAUGUCUAUAGGAUUGCAAGCAUUACUCAACUGAUAGGCUGUUUGAUGAUUCGUGAAUUGCAUCACUCAACUGAUAGGCCUCCUCUUUGUCUGGCCAUUUUAACUAUGGUUUCGUAUGAUUGCUUUACACUAGCUACACACGACUAUUAAAAUGAAUGGCAUGCUUUCCCAGCAAGUUUGGAUUUAAAGGAGAGGCUCUGAGCUCUAUUUCUUUUCUGAUGUUUGUUUGUUGGAAAUUGUUACUAAAACUUAUGGGAAGCCAAAUGGAUAUUGUAAGUUUCGAAGGUAAAUCUCUGUAGAGUUUUAGUUGGUAGCAUCCAUUAGGAUAGGUAUAAAACUACUAACUUGGUCUUUCUUCUAGGCAUUGUUUACAGGACGGCAAGUGCUUGUACCUUGGAAUUGAUAAUUUCAUUGUUCGUGAUGUAUUUUAAACCAAUCAGUUCGAAUGAAGAAAAUGCACUCCAAGUACUUCUAGUUUUCUCACAAUUGAAACAAAUAAAAAAUAGUGGUUUACAUACGUAACUUUCUGAUUGAUCUUUUGGUUUGCAUAUAUAAUCUGGAAACCCAAGGAGUGUCUUGCAUUAUCGUGAUGAUGACCUGCUUUGCGCACAUGCUUCUCCUUCUCCGUUGCCGCUAUUGCCCAGUGGUUUUCGGAUUCAUUUGAGUAACCUCAACAAAUUGAAUGCAAGUGAUGGUUCAUUCAAACUCUCAGGAUACAUCUCACUUCAGAUUUGGUGGUUGGAAGCACAACUUUGACCUAUUAAAUAUGCCAACACUGUUGAUCUUUGACAUUAUUCUAGAGACUCAAGGUUUAAAGGAUAGUUUUUCAUGUAUCCUUUGUUUCAAAAGGUAUCACCUCCUUUAGGUUAGAGUUUACUGAGUUAGUAUAUUUUUUCUUCUUUGAAAAAUAAAAGAGGGAACUAUAUUAAUGACUUUGAUCUUAGAGGAAGUAACUUAGUUUGAACAUUUAACACUACUCUAAUGUUCUAACAGGGUUAACAAAUACUGGAUAUCAUUAAGUAGGAUGAGAGGAUUAGGGAAAAGCUAGAAUAGGUUCUGAAGAAGUGACAAAUUAUUUUAUCUUUGAUGAGUGGAGGAAGUUUCCCUUCAUCUAUUGCUAUCCCAUUCCCUGCUCCUCUUUACCGGUAUACCUGUGAACUAUGAGAUCAAGAAAAAGAGGUGCAGGGCCCAGAGUUUCGAAGCUACUCUUGAGCUUCCUUCUCCUGCAGCCAAAGAAACUGACUGGAGAGUGCUUGUCAGGAGGGAGAUUCGAUAUUUGCAGUCUUAAUAUUCAUCAAGGCAUUAGAGAUUACAAUGUCAUUUUUCUAAGUGUCAUAGUCUCACUCGAAUUCCAUCUUGCUUAUGUUCUCAUCUUGUGAUAGAACCGUCAUGCCUUCUAUUUUCAUUCAAAUUUUCAGAAUUUGCACCAACAAAAACUCAAAAGUAUCUUAAAUUCUGAUCUUGACGUCUUGCAUUUUGGUUGGUGAUUCUUCGGUUCCUGAUACCAUUGAUAAAAAACUGCUUGGAGGGUGCCAAAGUUCUCCAGCAGGUUGAUAAGAAUUAUAUUCCGAUUGUGGCAGGCAUGCCACUUGCUAUAAUUGAUCAGGUCUAUUCUGGCCUUCGCAUAGUCCAUUAUGCCUGUUCUUGGUUUCUCGUAAAUUUCCUUAUAAUGUGUUUACUUUAAAUAAUUGUUUAUCUUGGGGAUUGUUUUGUUGGACUCAGUAGCAAACAUAAAACUCAGCAUAAACUUCCGCAUAAAUAGUAUAAUAUUUGUUGGCUGCGUAAGUCAUAGUAAUAACUGCAUAACUAUGUAUAACUCAGUUAUACGCAUAAGAAAAAUUAGCUCGACAGGACAUAUGCAGCGUCUGGUAGGUGGUAUUUAACUUUCAUUAUUAAUAUCCUUGUGACUUAUGUGAGAAUCUAUACGUUAUUUAUGUGGGAUGGAAUAUGGAAUAAGAAAACACAUGCCAACAAUGCACAGAUGAGUAUUUACAGGCAAAAAUUCCCUUUAUAGUAGAUAGUCCCCGCAUAGAAUAUCUUAUUUACUACUCACUGCGCUAAAAUCCCUUCAUUAUUAGUUACUGCAUAACAAUUUUUACAUUAUUAUCACUGCAUAAACAUUCCCUCUAUGAUUCUUACUUAACCAAAUAAUGUCUUAACUCUUUUAUAUUGCUGUUUAGUGGUAUUACUGAAGAAAAGGAUUAUGAUCUUUUGUUUGAUUCUACCAUUUAUCUUCGCUGAGCAUUACACUCAUUAUCAUGUUUUACAACAUGAUGCAGAUGAGCGAAUUCGAACUGUGUGAAAAGGUAAUGAUUGUCUAAAAACUCAUUGAUGUGUCAUAUCAAUGUGGAAUCUGGAAAGUGAAUUAUCAGGUCCUAUCUAGACAAAAGAGGACAACAACCUAUCUUGAUUCCUAGCAAGAAAUGGUCAUACCUGAAACUAAUUACCAAUUACUACACAACUAUGCUGACCAAAUUUCAAAACUGGGGUUGGAUCUGCAACAUUCAUUCUCAAGCCUCAAGAUCAUUUACUAGCAUUCAUUGAAGUGGAACCUAACUCUAGCAUGAACUGAAAAGUAACGGUGACAGCCAAUUCAAAAGUAAACACACUACUAGCUAAACAAAUUGAAGCUGUGACACUGAGGUCAGUUGAAGUUAAUUAUUCUUAAUAUAUAGUAAGUGUUAAAUGCUUAAACUGCCUAUUACUGUUGUCCUUUCAUUAACUACACACACUAUUAUCCUGUAUUAUGUGUAGAUUAUGUAUAAGUCCUUUGUUUUUGAUAAGAUUGGAAAAUCUUGAACUGACCUGAAUUUGAUUGAUUUUUUUUCGUCUGUUGGGUAAUUUUUUUGCUUUCUGCUUGUGGGUUUAAACCUUGAUGCUCUCUCGCCUCCACCAACCCCCACAUAAGCAAAAGAGAAGGAACAAGGUGCAAUUAUGUUUGGAGAUGCAUUGUCGCCUUCAGAGUGUAGCAAUAAUUCAUCACAUUGAAAUAUAAUUUGGAUCUAGAGCACAAUACAUCUAUACAGAUUCAACAAAUAAAUGUAUUUUACCCGAUUACAGAUCCAACCGUACCAUUUCUGUAAGUUUAUUUAUUUAUACCCUACUUAGAGAUACGAUUAAUGUUGUCAAACUCAAAAUAUACACUCCAUGGGAAGCACUAAUCACUAUAGGUAAAUAGAUGUUGCUUUACAUUUAUUGAGGAAAAGUUGUAUUUUUUUCUUAAAUCAUUUAUUUUCUUCUACUUUUUC